rnacentral:lncRNA from 1 species
GCUGGGAGUGGAAAAGAAAAGGAAUAUCAAGUUUAGGACCUCUUCUCCGAAGUGUCCAGAUUUCAUAGUAGUCUAUAGAAUUCCAAACAAUAUAUGGAAGCGGCACCUGAAAAAAAGGGAAGAGGAUAUUGUUCGCUAGGUAACAUCAUGAUGACGUGGCUAAUUAUUUGGCUUUCACCGCGACGCGGUUUCAGUCAAGAAAGAUUUCAUAUCUUCGUUUCUCGAGAACUUUUUUACCAAUGGGUUUGUACAUGCAUGCCAUAUUGAUAGGAUUAUCAUGCACGAUUCGAAUUCGAUCAAUAUGCGUGUCAUCCUGCAAAGGUUUCUCUUUGUUUCUUUUAUAAGACAGUAUGUUACAAGUGUUUCAACAUAUCUGACUAUCUGUAUCGAGAUGUGACUAUCUUAAAUUAAUAAAACUUUUUUUAUCGAAAUUUUUUUCACUCCGGGGAGGACAGUUCCACCAUAAGUUUUGAUCCAUAGAACGUGAAUAGUCAUAACUAAGCUAGUUGUAACUUACAGCUAGACGAGAAGCUAUUCACGUUUAGGAUAAAAAAUAGUUUAGCAUCAAAACCUAUUUCUGUGGACCGCAGUUCUCAAGAUAGAUACCAUGAUCCAAUCUAUAAAAAAAUACACUAGCAUGCUAAUCAAGAACACACUAUUUGGUGGAAGUCAGCAGGAAUCACGCAAGGAAUGGAUCGGAUCAUGCAGGGAAAUUGAUCUGACCUCUGAAGUCAAAUGACCAAGAAUUCACUGCUGGGACGCAAACAUCCAUAUACCAAUAGAUCGAUGAAUUCUCCAUGCAUACUGCUAGGGGUCCCGAUGGGCAUGUAUGCAACUCUCGUUUACCUGGUAUAUAAUUACGUUUUAUAAAAGAAGCACACACUAGACGAUAUAUACAUUCGAUUUACUCUCUCC